UGUUAAUUCACGACAUAGCAUAAAUCUUGUUAAUAAGCGUGUUUGGUUGAUUGGAGAUUCCACUAUUAUAAAAAACUUAGUAUUUAAUUUAGGAGUUGAGUGGGUAUUAAAAUAGAAGAAGAUGAUAGCUCUCUCUACCGAUUAUUGCACUCAGAUAAGUAUCACAAGAUGUACAGUCUCUAUCUUCACAACUUGUCUGCAUAUUCUUUGGCUUGUCAUGAUCUCCAACCAUGCAGGAUACUGUCUCUAAACUCAUGAUGAAUGCGGUAUACAUCAUAUAAAGUGAAGCUUUUUAGGGAUAGGUGUUCAUAUCAUACCCACACAACGUUGGACUAUAUUAUUUAAGGAUUUUUUUUAGUACUUGUGAGAUGUUCACAUGGUUUUAGGUGUUUACUUCUGAACAUAAAACUACAGAAGUUUUGUACAUAUUGUGUUGGAUUUUAGAGGAUCGAUGAAUAAAGGAAGUGCUCAGUUUUGCAAAGUGGCAGGACCCUUGUUGGAAAUAAAUAAGUAUCGAAGUUGAAUGAUUGAAAAAGAAGAGAUCUUACAUUCUCGAUAAACUAGAGCCAUGUAGAUGCAGACGUUACCCCGACAACUAUCACCCAUCUGAUUGGAUACGGAAUGUAGCAGGUGGUACGUUUUCUAGAUUUCACUUUAUUUCAUCUAACAGUAACAAUAAUGAUGUUCAAAAUUCCAUGUAGGGGCCGUUAAAGUAAGUUGUGACUUGUUUGUAGAUAAUAAUUGGAUAUGACGAUUUGAGUUAUGCAAUAGGGGGUAGGGUCCAUUCUCUUUUUUAACGUUAGAACAUGAGUUGUCUCUGUUCUAUGUGCAAAUAGGCAAUGUCAUAAUUAUUCAAUAAACUUGAUAUGAAAAGAUCGUAGUGUCAAGAUCCCAAAUCCCUCUAUCUAUUGGUAUGAGAAGAAGACCAAAUUCAAAAUAACUUGCAACUCUAUCCAUGUUUGCUUUCCUCACAUCCCACCCUUCGGAUUCCUCCUAAAACAAUCAUGUCGUAGUAUGUGAAUCAGGAAUUGUCCUUCACUUUUUUCCCAACUCUAACAAAAUAUUCUUGAAAAUCAAGUUUUCAAAGGUAAAUUUCCCACCCACGCAUUUUUCCAAAAACUAGUUGAACAGCCAUCAUCCAUUCAUUUUCAAACAAAAAAAAAGAUAUAUUAAUACCUUUAUUUUGAAGUUGCAAGCUCGAGCAAAAUAAUAUUUCUCCAAGGUGCACUCAAGUUCCUUACGAGGCCACAAAUCAACUUGACCAUCAUUAUAGUAAAUCAUGUUUAAAACUUUUACACAUAAAGAGGGUGCUUAUUGCUUACUGUUUAUUCCCAUCACAAUAAGCUAAGUUUAAGUAUUUUGAUUGGAAUUUUUAAGUAUUUUGAUUGAAAUCUUUAAAAAUCAGCUUAUUGUGGUGGGGAUAAGUUAAAUAAGCUAAUUUUAAUAAACAUUCCUCCGUUUCUUAAAGCUUAUUGCUUAUUCUCACCACAAACACUUUUGCAAAGCACUCAAGUAUCAACUUCAUUAACA